AAAGGUAAGCUACUAAGAGCGAAUGGUGGAUGCCUUGACUGGUAAAGGCGAUGAAGGACGUACUAGACUGCGAUAAGCUACGGGGAGCUGUCAAGAAGCUUUGAUCCGUAGAUUUCCGAAUGGGGCAACCCAAUGUAUAGAGAUAUACAUUACCUAUAUAGGAGCGAACGAGGGGAAUUGAAACAUCUUAGUACCCUCAGGAAAAGAAAUCAAUAGAGAUUGCGUCAGUAGCGGCGAGCGAAAGCGCAAGAGGGCAAACCCAGUGCUUGCACUGGGGGUUGUAGGACUGCAAUGUGCAAGAGCUGAGUUUAGCAGAACAUUCUGGAAAGUAUAGCCAUAGAGGGUGAUAGUCCCGUAUGCGAAAAACAAAGCUUAGCUAGCAGUAUCCUGAGUAGGGCGGGACACGAGGAAUCCUGUCUGAAUCCGGGUCGACCACGAUCCAACCCUAAAUACUAAUACCAGAUCGAUAGUG
rnacentral:rRNA from 1 species